AACGAACGCUGGCGGCGCGCCUAAUACAUGCAAGUCGAGCGAGAAGACGUAGCAAUACGUUUGUAAAGCGGCGAACGGGUGAGGAAUACAUGGGUAACCUACCCUCGAGUGGGGAAUAACUAGCCGAAAGGUUAGCUAAUACCGCGUACGCUCCUCGGACUUCGGUUCAGGGAGGAAAGCGAUACCGUGGGUAUCGCGCUCUUGGAUGGGCUCAUGUCCUAUCAGCUUGUUGGUGAGGUAACGGCUCACCAAGGCUUCGACGGGUAGCUGGUCUGAGAGGACGAUCAGCCACACUGGCACUGCGACACGGGCCAGACUCCUACGGGAGGCAGCAGUAAGGAAUAUUGCGCAAUGGGCGAAAGCCUGACGCAGCGACGCCGCGUGGGGGAUGAAGGUCUUCGGAUUGUAAACCCCUUUCGGGAGGGAAGACGGAACGAGCAAUCGUUCGGACGGUACCUCCAGAAGCAGCCACGGCUAACUUCGUGCCAGCA
rnacentral:rRNA from 1 species